rnacentral:rRNA from 1 species
AUUGAACGCUGGCGGCAGGCCUAACACAUGCAAGUCGAGCGAGCGGCGGACGGGUGGGUAAUGUAUGGGGAACUGGCUGAUAGAGGGGGAUAACUACUGGAAACGGUGGCUACUACCGCAUACUAUCCGAUGAGCCCACAUGGGAUUAGCUAUUAGGUGGGGUAAAGGCUCACCAAGGCGAAGAUGCCUAGCUGGUCUGAGAGGAUGAUCGGCCACAAUGGGACUGAGAAACGGCCCAGACUCCUACGGGAGGCAGCAGUGGGGAAUAUUGCGCAAGGGGCGAAAGCCUGAUGCAGCCAUGCCGCGUGUAUGAAGAAGGCUUUCGGGUUGUAAAGUACUUUCAGCGGGGAGGCGUUACCCGCCGAGGAAGCCACGGCUAACUCCGUGCCAGCAGCCGCGGUAAUUC